CUGACUGCAUAGGCAGGACCUCCCACGACGUCCAGGGGAGGUGGAGGGGUGUCGUGGGGGACAGCUUCAGACAGGGGACCAGGAACCACCGGCCUGAGAAGGGAGACAUGAAAGGAAGGUGAGAUAUGGUAGUCACUUGGGAGCUGUAAUCUAUACGUCACCUCGUUAACCCUCCGGAGAACCUUGAACAGCCCCACAAACCAGGGGCUCAGCUUCUUGCAGGGAGGAGUGGGAGGUUCCUGGUGGAGAGCCAGAUGCAAUCACCAGGAUGGAACACGGGAGCCUCCCUGUGGUGGCAAUCCGCUGGAGUCUCAUGUGGGCAUGGCUCCACACUUCUGCAUGCCUGAACCACUCAUCCACCGCAGGAGCUUCGGUCUGGCCCGGGAUCCACGGAGCCAGGGCUGGCUGAUAUCCCUUCCAGUGUGUUCUGGGUUUCAGCCAGGUGGAGAAGUGACCUAACAAAUUCUGGGUGUACUCCGCCCAGGGAAGGAAUUGGGCCCACUCCCCCUGCCGGUCCUGGUAGUGGCUCCUCAGGAACCUCCCCAGCUACUGGUUCAUCCUCUCCACCUGCCUGUUAGCCUGAGGCCAAUACCCGGAAGUGAGCCUGACUGUGACUCCGAGCUUCUCCAUGAAGGCUCUCAAUACCUGUGAUGUGAAUUGGGGGCCACGUUUGGGGACGAUGUCCUCUGGAUAGCUAUAAUACCGUAAGACCUGCUGGAACAGUGCCUCAGCAACCUGGAGAGCAGUAGGGAGACCAGAGAGAUAACAGGAUUUUGAGGACCUAUCCACAACCACCAAAAUUGUGGAAAGGGGAAGGAGUUUCCCUGCUGUAGUGUGCCCGUAUUCUGUAACGGUGACGCUGGUAGUCGAGAAGCAGGUGGUGAGUUUAAUUAAUACAAGCAACAUGGACCGACACAAAACAAGAGUAGCAUCUGGACAUGAAACACAUAACCAAUAGUUUGGGCGCACACAGAACAGGAGUUGCCGUAGAGAAUAACAUCCUGUGCCAAGGUGGGCCACCAUUACUUUUCAGAGAGAUGUCCAGCGACAACAGCUGUGUGUGCCCAAGUCAGCAGCCAGUCUCUUAUCCCCGUGGGAAUGUAGAUGCGCUCAGGACAACAGGUAGUGGGUGCGGGUUCCCUCUUCAGAGCCUGACGAAUGUCCACAUCUACAUCCCAGACCACAGGGGCUACGACUCGAGAGGGGACGGGAAAGCAGGUUCUCCGGCAUUCGAGUGACCAGUCCGUCAUUCUCAUCCUCGACCAUGAGAUGGUGGGGUUAUGACGUUGGAGCCAUGGGAGGCCGAGCAUGAUCUUGUAAGCUGGUUGAUGAAGGGAAUGUUUUCCUGAUCAAUGGACUCCACGGUGAGGGUGAGUGGUGUAGUGGUGUGUGAUGGUUCUGGAUCCGAUUAUCAAGGGCUUGAACCGGAAACUGAGAGAACAGCAGGUUUGAGGUGAUGUUCAGAGAGGAGGCAAGGGUCCGAUCAAUAAAGUUCCCAGCAAAACCGGAAUUGAUUAGCGCUGUGAAACAGUACAUGACGGACAGCCAGCUAGUGUGAGCGACACAAAAGGUUGGCAAAAAAUUAUGAAGAUAGGAUACUCACACCUGCCCCAGGAGGUGGAAGAUCAUGUGACCGUCCCUCUGCUCUCGUGGAGCCCAAGCUGGGACAUACCAGACACUGCUGAAGCCCCCUUGAUCCCAAUAGGGACAGAGCCCUGUCUGCGUCACUCAGCUGCGGGGAGGCAUGUGACCCCUACCUCCAUGGGUUCAGGCUCUGAUACAGAGUGGUCACUGAGGGAGGGAGAGAAACGAUGAGGGUACCGACGCUCCCAAAGGUUAUCCAGACAGAUGGCCAUCGCGGUGAGUGCGUCCAAGGAAAGGAUGUUGUCUUGACAUGCCAGUUGGAUGCUGGAUGCUGCUACUGUCCGGAAGCGGUCUGGUCAUCCUGCCCCAGUUGGAAUAGGCGCUCACCAUGGCAACGGUUAAGUGUGCCAAACUACUAACAUUCUUUAUUUUUACUUUUUUAUUUAUCAGAUCAGUAUAGUGUCUACACUCGGUCUGUUGUUUUUAUUAAGUAGUUUUCCUUAAAUCGUUUUUAAUCAUAACAACAACAUCUUUAACCAUUGGAAGUUUUGAUAGCUAAGGAUUUCACAAUGAGGUUAGCUUUUUCGGCUGGGACCGCAAGUUUGUGUCCUGGAUUCCUGCUAAAAAAACACAAUCAUGCUAACAGAGCAAGAUAACGCUAGCAUUGCUAGAGACAAAACACCAGUGUGGUAUUUGUGUCUACAUCUGGGCUCAAAUGCACUAGGUAUGAGAUGAUAUCUACGCAAGAUGAGUAAAAUAAGAUGGAACUGAUGAAUGAACAUAAAUUCUUUGUCUAUUCCAAAUGUAUCAUCAUCAAGCAGCUUGGGGAAGAAAUUCUCCGUCUGCUAGAUCAGCUGCGGGAAAAACAAGAUGUGCUUUCCAAGUACCUCGAUGCAGCCCAGACACACAGAAUUUCAGUUCUGAAGGGCCGACCAAGGUCCACUGUUACCAAGACACCCAUGUCCAAGACAUCAACUCCCCCCUGCCUAAAGUUCUAGGCAACUACUCUAAUAUUGUCACCAUUGUCACUCACGCUGGAUUUAACGACAUUUGCUUUCGGCAAUAUGAGGAACUGAAGAAGGACUACAACAUUCGCUUGAUCAGCCUUGUUUGCACAGGGAAGAGGAUAGUCAUCUCUGGCCCCCUGCCGUGCUAUAGAAGUGGUUCGGAAUGAGUUUCUGAAUAAACUCUGCAAAGACAGGAAUGUCUCCUUUUGUGACAAUUUUGACUUUCUGUGGGAGCAACCAACACUCUUUAAAAGAGAUAGGAUUCACCCUAACCACAGUGGUUCCAGGAUUAUCUUAAUCAACAUAGCGAACUGCUUAAGAGACUGACACUGGUUUUGUUAGCGCUCCAGUCCUCCCUGUGAUAAUAAGCAACAGAGGACAUGGAAAUUAUAUUAUAUCCAAGAGAAAUAAAAGUGAAUUAAAUGUAAGUAACCUAAUCUAUGUUCCUUUAACUGUUAGCUCCGAGGGUAUUGUCUGCAAUAAUUAUAUGUACAUAGAAUUUAAUUCCACAAUUUGCAAGGAAACCGUCUGCCUUAGGAAGAAGCCCACUGUGGGCAGCCCACUCAGUACCAUUAACUCAAAUGUAAAUGUCACUGACAUGUCUAUCCUGGAUCAGCCUCUCAGAAUAGCACUAAAAACAAACAAGCAACUCAGAAAAGGACAAAAAAAUCCCAUAUUAACAUACCUAGCCUGAGAAACAAGGUUCAUGAAAAUGACAACUUAUUAACAUCAGAAAACAUUCAUAUUCUGGCCAUC
rnacentral:lncRNA from 1 species